GCUGGAUUCGCUAGUAAUCGCGCAUCAGCCAUGGCGCGGUGAAUACGUUCCCGGGCCUUGUACACACCGCCCGUCAAGCCAUGGGAGUCGGGAGUGCCUGAAGUUCGUGACCGUCACAGGAGCGACCUAAGGCAAGACCGAUGACUGGGGCUAAGUCGUAACAAGGUACC
rnacentral:rRNA from 1 species